GCUCCGGUGGCUUAGUGGUUAGAGCGUCCGCCUCAGAUGCGAACUGUAUUGGGUUCGAUCCCAGGUAGAGUCA